GGAAAAGAAACUUAACAAGGAUUCCCCUAGUAACGGCGAGUGAAGCGGGAAGAGCACAAAUUUUAAAUCUAUCUGGUUCUACCAGGUCGAGUUGUAAUUUGAAGAAACGUUUUUAAUGUUCCGGGUUGGUUUAAAUCCUUUGGGAUAAGGUAUCAUGGAGGGUGAGAAUCCCGUGUAUAUCAACCGCUGGGAUGUUAUUAAUACGUUCUCUAAGAGUCGAGUUGUUUGGGAAUGCAGCUCUAAAUGGGUGGUAAAUUUCACCUAAUGCUAAAUAUAAGCGAGAGACCGAUAGCGAACAAGUACCGUGAGGGAAAGAUGAAAAGAACUUUGAAAAGAGAGUUAAAUAGUACGUGAAAUUGUUGAAAGGGAAACGAUUGAAGUCAGUCAUGCCGGUGAGAAUCAACUUUGAGGAAGGGAGAUUUUUUUGAACCUAACCUUGAAGUGCACUUCUUCGCUUGGCAGGUUAGCGUCGAUUUUGAACGUCAUAAAAUGAUUGGGGGAAGGUAGCUCUUUCGGGAGUGUUAUAGCCCUUAAUUAAUGUGAUAUUUGGGAUCGAGGAUUGCAACGGAUACCUUUUUUAGGCUAGCCGCCUGGCCUCUGAUUCGAUGUUGGGUUAUAGACAGCAUGCUGACUAUGAUCUGAUUAUUGGUCAAAAGGUUAGAGCGAGCAUAAAUUCGUUAAGGACGCUGACGUAAUGGCUUUAAACGACCCGUCUUG
rnacentral:rRNA from 1 species